AUGUUCUACUACGGCCUGGAUUUCCAUGAUCUGGCCCCGAAUUUCAUCCUCAACAUCUCGGUGUUUAUCGUCGUGUGUGAGGCCUUCCUCUGCAUCCAGCCCCACUUCGGCUUGUGGCUCAAGACCUUCAGUGUCAAGCCGAAGGUUGUGAAGGGCAGCCAAGCGGAGUGCGGAGGCGCCAUGGUGGGCAGGAUGUCCCACGUACUUGGCUUGAGGGCACUUUCGUGGAAACCAUCAAGGGGUGGCAAUUGGGGUGGUUCUACAUCACCGAGCCGCGUGACCCCGAAUGGGCAGCGGCCCCCAAAUUCAGAUCCGGCAUCCCCACACGGCUCACCUCCUGGAAAGAGAGCGGCCGGACAUGGGGUGAUUCGGAGGAGCUGA
rnacentral:rRNA from 1 species